rnacentral:lncRNA from 1 species
CAUGUCACCACAGUGGUGACCCUUCUCUCUGACUCAUUUCCCAUUAUGAGCACAAUUAGCGUGCAGCAUGUGUCCUGGGAGAUUAAUGAUCCGCUGGAGGGAAGAAAGAGGAACUUGGGGAAUGGAUCUGGGUGUAGUCAGAGCUCGCCUCUCCCUGGGAGCUGCCUUGGUGCUGUAAAGGAUCUCAUGUCUUUUGCCAGCUUUGAUGAAACUUGCUAGUUGGAAAGCAGAGUGAAAUCUCAGGCUCUACAACUCUUGACAUAAGUAUUUUAUUCAUUUUUGGUGUCUAUGUUCUUGAAGUACUUAAGAGAUUUGGGGCUAUGCAAGUAAUAGACCAACUUUGUGAUUCAUAUUAAAAUUAAGUGAUUUAAACGCAGGAUUUUUAAUUUGAAAUUAUUUAAGUUUAUAAACAGUAUGGGAACAUUUAGAAAGACCUGGAUUCAUUCUGUUUAUAAUUGUAAUCCAUUAAAUUUAUGAAAAUUACCUAAGAAAUCUGAAAAGGUUUGGUUUAGCCAUCAGGCAAUUGAAGUACCUAAACAAGGAAAUAAAAUAUAUUAAAUUUAUAAAUCUUACUUUAAAUGUUUGAAUGAGUUAAAUAACUCCGUUUGUAUUGGGACCAAACUCUUUAACUCUUUAAGACUGCCUUAAAUCAUUUUGUUAAAAAUCUUAGAUUGAUUUCCACUUCUAUGUAGAGAGUUAGAAAGUAUAUCACCUCUACCCUAACAACAAGAAUAUGACAAAUGAAAUACAAAAUGAUAAUGUUCCUUGAACUCAUCAGAGGACUGACAUCACAGGGCAACUAAGCAACUAGAAUUCCAAAGAAGGACAAGCCCCUCCAAAGACAGGAAGCAUGAGGGCAGGCUCAUCAGUGUCAGAGCAGGGGAGACCAGCACAGACACCUUACAAGCAGAAUGACCUUCUGUGGCUACAGAGAAAGGCUUCAGGCAAAGAGAUGCAGCUCUGGGCCCCAGAGUCCGCUGGAGCACACUGAAGCUGGAGCACACUGAAGUGGAAGAUGGGGCUGCAGACAGAGACUGGGCAGCCUCUGCUCCAGGGAGGCCCGAGAGCCAGAGAGCAGAUUCCAUAAGAAGAAUAACUCCCAUUCCUCAUGCAUGAGACCCUCUGCUAAAUGCUUCCUGUGCACCACCUCCAGAAAUCCUCCCAAGCCAGGACACCAGCAGUAUUACAGGAACUGGAUGACAAAAAGAAGAGCCGAUAUAACCAGGAACCUACUCUGGCCACCCCAAUGGUCAUGGAUUUGGAUGGUGAGAAGAGCUGAGACAGACGGCACAGGUUCUCAGGAUGCUUGAGGCAGGCUGAGCUCCACGAGCAGAGACCAGGCUGAUGCAUGCUCCACAUCUUGCAUGCUUUGCUUAAAGAAUGAGCGAAAGGAGUAAAUGAAAUUGGUUCUUUCAAAGCAACAAGAACAUUUGUGACAUAUCUGCUAAGGUGGUGAGGGACAAAGAUGAAGGACUGCAGAGCUGUCUCAUAGGCUCCUUUGAGCAAAGCAUUCCUCCUCCAGGUAAAGUGACAAAUGAAUUUGCUCAGACAACACUCUGCCUCCCGUGUUUUCCCAUAAAGUCCUCUUCACUGAAACCAUUUAGCAUCGUACAUCUAUCCUACAAGAAGGC